CCUACGGGAGGCAGCAGUGGGGAAUUUUGGACAAUGGGCGAAAGCCUGAUCCAGCAAUGCCGCGUGAGUGAAGAAGGCCUUCGGGUUGUAAAGCUCUUUUGUCAGGGAAGAAACGGUGAAAGCUAAUAUCUUUUGCUAAUGACGGUACCUGAAGAAUAAGCACCGGCUAACUACGUGCCAGCAGCCGCGGUAAUACGUAGGGUGCAAGCGUUAAUCGGAAUUACUGGGCGUAAAGCGUGCGCAGGCGGUUUUGUAAGCCUGAUGUGAAAUCCCCGGGCUCAACCUGGGAAUUGCAUUGGAGACUGCAAGGCUAGAAUCUGGCAGAGGGGGGUAGAAUUCCACGUGUAGCAGUGAAAUGCGUAGAUAUGUGGAGGAACACCGAUGGCGAAGGCAGCCCCCUGGGUCAAGAUUGACGCUCAUGCACGAAAGCGUGGGGAGCAAACAGGAUUAGAUACCCUGGUAGUCCACGCCCUAAACGAUGUCUACUAGUUGUCGGGUCUUAAUUGACUUGGUAACGCAGCUAACGCGUGAAGUAGACCGCCGUGGGGAAGUACGGUCGCAAGAUUAAAACUUCAAAAUUGAAUUUGAGGGNGNGAGACGUUGCCGAACGGACGACGACGAGGGGAAGGUUAGGAGG
rnacentral:rRNA from 1 species